rfam:Glycine soja cultivar W05 scaffold1935_21, whole genome shotgun sequence.
GCCGAUAUGUUGCCUUUAUCUGCAUUUGCACCUGCACUUUAAUUACUUGGUUUCUCUGUGACAUAAAUAAAUAUAAAUAUGUCAGGUAAGAGAAAUAUAUUAUAUAUAAUAUGGGAAUAGAGGUACCGAGAACGAGGUGCAGGUGCAUCUGCAGGUGAAUGUCAUAUUGGA